AGGUAUUGUUACUUCUGUUUGGAUUUUCAAAUUAUAAUUUAGUAACCAGUAACCUGUUCAUUAUUAAUGAAUUACUGAAAGUCGCUGGAAAGAGUGAAAAAAGUUGUUUUUUGCGUUAUGUCGCGCCUGAAGCCGUUCAAACUGACUGACACCGCUGAGAUGUUUGGACCAAUUGAGAGCUACAUGAACCACGUGACCGCCUAUCGGCGAGUUCAAAGAGUGUCGUAACUCUCUAUGGCGCUGGUUCCGCCCAUAUCGAGGAUGCAUUGAUCCAUCCUUCGGCAGACUUGGACCGGCCAAAACUUUAACCCUUCCAGAUGCUCCUCCUGACCUAAUGCACCUGAGGCUGAAUCUUCCCAUCCAGCAUAUGGCACACCUGUUCUGCAUCGACCGAUCAACUGUGUCCACCACGUUCACAAAUACCAUAGAUGUCAUGUUUACACACCUUGCUGCUGGGUAACCAGUGAGCAUGGUGCUGCCAUGUGAAGAAAGGGCGGAACAAGAACUGUGCCAAAACUUGCUUUGGUCCGUCCAACAGCGCGGUCAACACAACAUUAACCUACCUUUUCCGGGUCACUGUAGGUCCAGACAGCAUUUGACCAUCAAUUGGAGCAUUCUACACUGAACAGACUUACAAGACAAGUUGAGCUCUAUGAAACGUUUGUUCUGUUAGUCAAACACAAAAAUAUAAUUUGUAAUGUUUUCAAGGCAUUAUGACCACCUUGACUUGAAAUACAUAUAGACAGGACAAACAUGGAAGUUAGAUGAGGUUUUUUUUUUGUGAACUAGGCUUCAUCAGGGUAGUGGGUGUGUGUUUGGCUGUGUGGGGGUGGCAGAAGGAAGGGCUCGCCUAGAGCACCAUUCAUGCAAGAACCGUCACUGUAUGGCCUGAUCCACAGGGCAGAUAAAAACAUUUAAGAUGGAUAUGAAAUGUUAAACUCUCAGAUGAAAGCUGCUCUCCCACAUUCUGAUUCAAUUAGGUUAAUGUUUUGUCAUUGAUUUUGUCUUUAAAAUGAUUUUUUUUGUCAUAAGUCAUAUCCCCUCUGACUGCAUAAAUCGCUCAUCUUAGUUGCGUUGUGUUUUUUGAUGCCAAUUCAAGUUUUCACCAAACCUUGUUUGUGCUAUUUACAGAUUAUGUUACUACCUUUUUUACCUUUGUUCCCUUUGUUUUGUAAAAAAUAAUUAGUUUUGUGUUGGACAUUAUGCACCUCCUUGCCAACAUUUAAGGGUUGUCUAUCAAUACCAAACACACCUUGUUGUUUUUGCAGAUGUAUUCAAACAUGUUACUGUUCCAGGCAUCUCUUUUAAUAUUAAGCUAUUAAACUAUUAAACACA